AGAAUCAACGCUGGCGGCGUGCCUAACACAUGCAAGUCGAACGCGAAAGGGACUUCGGUCCUGAGUAGAGUGGCGAACGGGUGAGUAACGCGUGGGUGACCUACCCUCGAGUGGGGGAUAACGUUCCGAAAGGGACGCUAAUACCGCAUGACAUUCCGGGUUUGAAGACCUGGAAAUCAAAGCCGGGGACCGCAAGGCCUGGCGCUAGAGGAGGGGCCCGCGUCUGAUUAGCUAGUUGGCGGGGUAACGCCCACCAAGGCGACGAUCA
rnacentral:rRNA from 1 species